AUACGGAGGGUGCAAGCGUUACUCGGAAUCACUGGGCGUAAAGCGCGCGCAGGCGGUCUUUUAAGUUGGAUGUGAAAGCCUACGGCUCAACCGUAGAACUGCAUCCAAAACUGUCAGUCUAGAGUGUGGGAGAGGAAGAUGGAAUUAGUUGUGUAGGGGUAAAAUCCGUAGAGAUAACUAGGAAUACCAAAAGCGAAGGCAAUCUUCUGGAACACUACUGACGCUGAGGCGCGAAGGCGUGGGGAGCAAACAGGAUUAGAUACCCCGGUAGUCC
rnacentral:rRNA from 1 species